rnacentral:lncRNA from 1 species
UUAGUGCCCUUACUACCUGUGCCCGGUCCUGCACGCAGGGCCACUGCCUAUUAGAAUAGAAGGCACGGUGUCUAUGACCCAUCAUACUUAUAGGAGCCCAUGAUAAUGUUCUAGCUUUAAUUUAUUUUAAAGUCAGAAGAAAAAGAGAAUACAACAAUGAUGAAUAUGUAAUAAUGAAUCCAGCCUCGUCUAUCUUCAUGUCUAUACCAAGGCAAUGUAAGACUUAAUUUUAAUAUUUGUAUAGAGCAUUGGUCCAUGAAAGCAAAUGUGCAUAUGUCCUAGGGAAGUCACAGUGGGCCCUGCUUCCAUGGCCUCCCCUAAGUGUCCAGUGACAUUUCUCCUUACUGUGGCAUUCCUUUUCCGAGACACCAACUAUUUCUUCCAAAUUUUUGUCUUCCUUGGCUUUCUUUACCUUCACAACUCCCAUUUCCUCAGCUAUAUAAUCUCACUAAGCUGAAUGACAAAUGAAUUAUGAAAUUAAUAGACCCUCAGUGCUAGUGACUGAGGUGUCCCCAGUGGCCUCCACCAAGUUAAGAUCCUCUGGAAUUUCUCCGGAUCUUCGAGGCAAGACUCUUACUCCAGUGUCAUCUUCGUCCAUCUGAAGCCCACCUCUAAGGAACCCAACAUAACUUCACUUUAGUUUAUUCACAAACAUGACGUUCCAUUGGAUCAACUGUGGCAGGAUCUCAGGGUUGAGGAGAAAGAUGACUAAUCAAACAGAGCCAAGUUUGGAGGGGAGUUUAGAAACAGGGCGAAAUAUCAUUUUAGUUAGGAAAAUACUCAGUCUCCAAAACACAUCUGAAAGGUCCCCCUUCUUUUUGUAAAACCAUACCAGGCUUCCAAGAAAAGACAUUUUCAAUGAGAAAAAUGUGAAAGCAACCUUUCUAUACUCACAGGCCUUAAGUAUAAUCUGUGAUCUGCCUCAUGAGACUGUGAAUGUCUCCUCUUACUCAUCUCUGUGGCCCUAUGUUAAUACAGCUCCUGGUGCAUUUAACUGCUUAGAAAGUACUCUUUAAUGACACUCAAUUAAAAAGAACGAAUUAUAAAAAAGAAAGCCCUUUUUGCCAUUAAGGUAACAUAUUUUCAGGUUCCAGAGAUAAGGGCAUGUAUGUCUUUGGGGGCCAUUACUGAGCCUACUACACUAGUUUUGUAAGUAAAUUUAGAGCAACUAAACUUUAGUUUUCUAAUUUUUGUAAUAGAAAGAAUUCUAUGUCCAGCCACUGGAUCCUGAAACUCUAGACUUUUAUCUCAGAUAUCAAGAGGAAAACCACAUGAAUAAAUACCUGUUUCUUUAAAGCUGAUGUAAUCUUGACCCUAUUGUAUUUCCUCCUUCUGGAUACAUGCCCUUCAUUAUUUUAUUCUAAAAUUUAUUCUCAGGAUCUGUUGACAUUGUCUUUUGUUGUUCAUAUGGAAAACUCAAGCUUUUCAGUUUGCCAACAUUCUCAACUCUUCAGAAUUUCUACUGAUGUCUAGAUUAUACUUCAGGCAAUGGAUCCCAUGUUUACUACUUAAACGUGCUUCAUCUAUGAAACCUUCAGUUGGACACAUCUUAUAUUAAUGAAGUCUCUUAACUCUGCAGUUUCUACUAUACCUUGAUUUAUCAAGUUCUUGAUUCAUCAAGAGUUGUCAUUAGGUCUCUCUUCUUUCCUCUUUGCAUUCUUUCAAUACCCAUAGAAGUUUACGUAUGAAAAUUAGGCUAAAUAAUAUACUAAAUUGAAAUUGAUCAGACUCCACUUAUUCUACACAAGUAAGUUUGGAAACAUCUAAUUUAAAGAAAAGCACUUUCUCACUAUGGUUUCAGCAGUCAAGAUGAUUGCCUUUCCAACAUCAGUUUUACUUUAAAUAAUUUGUUUAGGUCAGCCAUGCUAAUUUCAUUGUGGUUGGCAUAGGAGUCACUGUGGAUAAAGAGUUGUGACCCAGCCUUAGCCAACGCCACAUAAGAAGCACUGUGCUGGGUACUUCUAGGAGAGUUUCUCUCACUUCUAAGAAGGAGCCUUUGAAGAGAGGUUGCUUCUCUUCUUCAAGGGGAUAUUGUCCCAUUGCAAGGUGAGGUGUGAAAUUGCUGUGGAGUCUCCACCCAGCCUGAGGACGACAUCAAUACACAGAAGAAGAAAAAGGAGAAGAUGAGAGAAAUUCUGCACUCUCAUGGAUGACACCCAGAGUUUACCCUCCCUCUGGACUUCUUGUUAUGGGACUAACACAUUUUUGUGGAUUUUAAACCAAUUUGAAUUACUUUUUUUGCACCUGCCUGUACUCUAAUCCAAACAACCAUCCAAGUUAAUAAUUUUCUCUUUACAAUGCACCCUGCAUUUUGUACCUAUACAAGAGUGGUCAGAAUGUGUGAAAACUGCUGAGUCAUCCUGACAGCAUGGCUCCAGUAGAUUCUAGGGGUCGGCUAUAGUAUUGAGUGAUAUUAAAAUAACAAAUAAUGCACAAAAGGCAUGGAUCUAAAAAAGUCUUUAGGAAUCUUCACUCACUGAGAGCUCAUAUUCAGGACACAGUUUCUUCUUCAAAUCACCUUGGACAAACUUUGAUAUCUGAAGGUGGAAACCAUCCCUUUUCCCUCUGGAGCUGGAGUGAUGUUCACGGAAGGCAAAGCAGCUGGGCCUGAAUGGGGCUAAGCUCUGGGAGCCAUGAGUGUCUCCACAGAAACAGAGCAGGACACCCGGAGGGACCACCCAAAACCUUGGGUCCGUUUGUGAGGCCAUCAGAUCCUCAGCUGGCAUUUGACAAGGAGGAUCAAGGUUGCAACAGCCUAAAGAAGUUUAAUUUCAAGAAAACAGGCUGAAAGAAUGAGAGUUGUGACCAACUCAGUAUACCACUGGAGGCUAUAUGAGCAAACAGAAAACUGUUCUUAUGAAAGCAGGAUGUUGGAAAACUGAUAACUGUGUCUGCCGCCAGAAGGGGUGCUGAGGGCAGUCAGGCCUCAUGCACAGUGUUCCUUGUGAUUAUCUAUAGGAACAUCUGAAGCCUGUUGUACAAAGAAAGCAAUUAUGUGGACCUGUGAUAAAUCAAGCAGUGGACCAACCAUUAGCUCUCCCUCCCUGCUCUUUCUACCUAACAAAUAUGAAAGACUGUAGAAACUCAGGGCUGCCUUUGCUCUCUAGAAGCAAGGAGCCCCUGACCCCCUCUUUCAAAAUAGGUCUUUUCGUCUUUGUCUUUACUUCUGCAUUCGACCCCCUUCAUUGACCCUGUAGAAACUGUCAGUGACAUUCUCUUUUCCCUUGUAUUUUCUAAAUUUUCUAUAAUUUGCAUGUUAUUUUAAUAAUUAGUGAGGGCAUCAAAGAAGUGGAUUUACAAUGGUGCAAACAUUGGCAGUUUCAGUUAGGAACUCAUAUUCCUGUUGGGUCAGAGAUUGAGCCCUGGAGGAAACCUCUGGUCUGAGGGCUACAGGGAAGCUCCUGUUUCAUGCCUAUUCCUGAAAUUAGGCCUGUCCCUCUGAUUUAGGGAAGAUUUAUUCCUCUGUUUGUCUGCAUACUACAGAAACAGCCUGUGAAAGAAUCUGCAGGCAUCACUUACAAUUGUAACUUAGCAUAUUGGAAAUUUCUGUUGAGGACAUCAAUGGCUUUCAUGUCCUCUGGAGUCUACUCAACAAUUUUUCUUCAAAGUCUAAAGGAGAUUUUUUCUUCCAGCAUAAUAUUCCGUGCAGUGCAGAAAGUCUUUUCUUUUGCCUUUUGGUAAAUGGCCUAAGAGAUUUUACAGUUUAUUGAGAGAAUUCCUAUGCCAUUAUCAUUAAGUUUUGGUUUGCUUAGAAUGUAAAAAAAACUGAGAUUAGAACAAAUUUUUAAAAAAGUAAGGUUAUUACAUCUGUAUAUCUUUCUGU